GAAGUAGUAUGGGAGGUACUGCCUGAUGCGGGGGAGUAACUACUGGAAACGGUAGCUAAUACCGCAUAAUGUCUACGGACCAAAGCGGGGGACCUCCGGGCCUCGCGCCAUCAGAUGAACCCAUAUGUGAUUAGCUAGUAGGUGGGGUAACGGCUCACCUAGGCGACGAUCCCUAGCUGGUCUGAGAGGAUGACCAGCCACACUGGAACUGAGACACGGUCCAG
rnacentral:rRNA from 1 species